GUACCAGUGUAGAUUUAUUAAUUGCUAGAGACUCAAAGCACUUUUGUACGUCGCUCUGGAUAAGGGCGGGUGCUAAAUGCCGCAAAUGUAAAUAAAAGCAUUGCAUAUUAGUUUGUAUACAUAAAUCUAUCCUGCCUGUGAUAAAGAAAAAUGUAUGAGUAGUGGACAGAAGUGGUUUCUGAGAACUUAAAUCUGAGGCAUUGAAAUCAUUUACUAAUUUAUUCUAUUAACAUAGACAUGAAAACUGAAUCUGGUCCUUUUUCUUAUAGUGCUGGGAAAUUUGCACGCUCUUCUUGUGCACAGUUUGUGAUAUGGCCAAGUGAAGCACACACAGCGCAUCUUCAUGGUAGAUGGAGGAGACCUUGUCUAUGGUUGGCUUGACUACGGGUGGCUGUUUUGAAUGGAGUAUACUCAUUGACAGGUGAAGAUGUCUGCAUCCUGUAUCAAGACGCACGAGGCUCAACAGAUUGACAUGCAGUUUGAUGGGUAACUUUCAAAUGUGAUGCUGAGGUAAGUAAUGUUUGUGUUUGUAAAUUGGUGUUCUGCAGCCUGUGAUGAAGAGAUUCUGCCAAAUGUUUCUGCUAAUUAUAACCCUUUCCAUUACAUUCAUUUCUGAGGUUGCCUUCUGGUUAUGUCCUAUUUGUGCUGGUCAGGUAAACGUUCCUAAUGAUUGCUUUCUU